rnacentral:rRNA from 1 species
UAGGGAAUCUUCGGCAAUGGACGAAAGUCUGACCGAGCAACGCCGCGUGAGUGAAGAAGGUUUUCGGAUCGUAAAACUCUGUUGUUAGAGAAGAACAAGGACGUUAGUAACUGAACGUCCCCUGCCGGUAUCUAACCAGAAAGCCACGGCUAACUACGUGCCAGCAGCCGCGGUAAUACGUAGGUGGCAAGCGUUGUCCGGAUUUAUUGGGCGUAAAGCGAGCGCAGGCGGUUUCUUAAGUCUGAUGUGAAAGCCCCCGGCUCAACCGGGGAGGGUCAUUGGAAACUGGGAGACUUGAGUGCAGAAGAGGAGAGUGGAAUUCCAGGUGGAGCGGUGAAAUGCGUAGAUAUAUGGAGGAACACCAGUGGCGAAGGCGGCUCUCUGGUCUGUAACUGACGCUGAGGCUCGAAAGCGUGGGGAGCAAACAGG